GAUGAACGCUAGCUACAGGCUUAACACAUGCAAGUCGAGGGGAAACGAUAUUGGAAGCUUGCUUCCGAUAGGCGUCGACCGGCGCACGGGUGAGUAACGCGUAUCCAACCUGCCCAUCACUUGGGGAUAACCUUGCGAAAGUAAGACUAAUACCCAAUGACGUCUCUAGAAGACAUCUGAAAGAGAUUAAAGAUUUAUCGGUGAUGGAUGGGGAUGCGUCUGAUUAGCUUGUUGGCGGGGUAACGGCCCACGAAGGCGACGAUCAGUAGGGGAUCUGAGAGGAAAGUCCCCCACAUUGGAACUGAGACACGGUCCAAACUCCUACGGGAGGCAGCAGUAAGGAAUAUUGGUCAAUGGGCGCGAGCCUGAACCAGCCAAGUGGCGUGCAGGAUGACGGCCCUAUGGGUUGUAAACUGCUUUUAUAAGGGAAUAAAGUGAGCCACGUGUGGCUUUUUGCAUGUACCUUAUGAAUAAGGACCGGCUAAUUCCGUGCCAGCCGCCGCGGUAA
rnacentral:rRNA from 1 species